CUGUACGACUCUCGACAAUGGAUAUCUAGGCUCUCGCAUCGAUGAAGAACGUAGAGAAAUGUGAUACUUGGUGUGAAUUGCAUAAUCCCGUGAACCAUCGAGUCUUUGAACACAAGCUACGCCCGAGGCCUCCUGACUGAGGGCAUGCCUGCCUGGGCGUCAUGC
rnacentral:rRNA from 1 species